GAAGUUUUCAACUAUAAUCUCUUCAAAUAUUUUCUCAGUCCCUUUCUUUUUCUCUUCUUCUUCUGGGACGCCUAUAAUUUGAAUGUUGGUGCGUUUAAUGUUGUCCCAGAGGUCUCUGAGACUGUCCUCAGUUCUUUUCAUUCUUUUUUCUUUAUCCUGCUCUGCAGUAGUUAUUUCCACCAUUUUAUCUUCCAGGUCACUUAUCCGUUCUUCUGCCUCAGUUAUUCUGCUAUUGAUCCCAUCUAGAAUAUUUUUAAUUUCAUUUAUUGUGUUUUUCAUCGUUGCUUGGUUCCUCUUUAGUUCUUCUACAUCCUUGUUAAAUGUUUCUUGCAUUUUGUCUAUUCUAUUUCCCAGAUUUUGGAUCAUCCCUACUAUCAUUAUUCUGAAUUCUUUUUCAGGUAGACUACCUAUUUCCUCUUUAUUUGUUAGGUCUGGUGUGUUUUGACCCUGCUCCUUCAUCUGCUGUGUGUUUUUCUGUCAUCUCAUUUUGCUUAUCUUACUGUGUUUGGGGUCUCCUUUUCACAGGCUGCAGGUUCGUAGUUCCUGUUGUUUUUGGUAUCUGUCCCCAGUGGCUAAGGUUGGUUCAGUGGGUUGUGUAGGCUUCCUGGUGGAGGGAACUAGUGCCUGAGUUCUGGUGGAUGAGGCUGGAUCUUUUCUUUCUGAUGGGCACGUCCACGUCUGGUGGUGUAUUUUGUGGUGUCUGUGGCCUUAUUAUGAUUUUAGGUAGCCUGUCUGCUAAUGGAUGGGGCUGUGUUCCUGUCUUGCUAGUUGUUUGGCAUAGGGGGUCCAGCACUGUAGCUUGCUGGUCAUUGAGUGAUGCUGGGUCUUGAUGUUGAGAUGGAGAUCUCUGAGAGAUUUUCACCAUUUGGUAUUACGUGGAGCUGGGAGGUCUCUUGUGGACCAGUGUCGUGAAGUUGGCUCUCCCACCUCAGAGGUACGGCCCUGAUGCCUGGCUGGAGCACCAAGAGCCUUUCGUCCACACGGCUCAGAGUAAAAGGGAGAAAAAAUAGAAAGAAAGAAAGAGGCUAUAAUAUAGUGAAGUAACAUAAAGCUAUUAUAAAGCAAAGCUAUACAGACAAAAUCUCACCCAGAAGCAUAUACAUAUACACUCACAAAAAAAAGGAAAAGGGGAAAAAUUAAUAUAUCCUGCUCCCAAAGUCCACCUCCUGAAUUUGGGAUGAUUCAUUGUCUAUUCAGGUAUUCAACAGAUGCAUCACAUCAAGUUGUUUGUGGAGUUUUAAUCUGCUGCUUCUACGGCUGCUGGGAGAGAUUUCCCCUUCUCUUCUCUGUUCGCACAGCUCCUGGGGAUCAGCUUUGGAUUUGGACCCACCUCUGCGUGUACAUGGGGAGUUUCUUGCCUUUUGGGAGGUCUGACGUCUUCUGCCAGCAUUCAGUGGGUGUUCUGUAGGAGCAGUUCCACGUGUAGAUGUAUUUCUACUGUAUCUGUGGGAAGGAAGGUGAUCUCCGCGUCUUACUCUUCCGCCAUCUUCUCAAGUUAAUUCUCCAUUGCUUGCCUUGUAUACUUAUGUGUCUAUGAGUCCAGGAUAUAAAGAACAAGACGUUGCUUUGAUGGCUUGUCGGAGAAGCUUGUCCCAGUGCUUUAUACACAUAUACUUGCCUUCUGUCUUUUGAGUGCCCAUCAGGGAAUUAUAUCUGUGCUGCUCGAUCCAUUAAGUAAGCAGAUCCCACACGCACACAGGAAAUUUAUUACCUAGUGCCAAAGAUAGAAACCAGCUGCCCCCAAAAGGAUUUGACUCCACUCUCACCUCAGAAACCUGCUUAUUGAAACUUCUAGCAUGUAACUUCCUUCCCAGCAUCUCUAACCCAUUCCUCCCUUAUGGCCCCUCCCUUUCUAUGCUAAUUUUUCCUGUCUUCCCACCUCUCCCUGGUACUGAGAAUCUUUGUUGCCCCUCUAGCAGCUGAUGAUUAGAGAGGGGACAGCAUCAUCUAACUUGGGUUAGCCAAUGAGUAACAACCAAUGGGUGAUUUUUUCUAUGGCUGAUUCUAGUUCUUGAGCUGUCAGAAACUUUCUUGAGAGUUUCAGUUGGAGAGACUGAGGUCCUGCAUGUCCUCAACUCCUGGAACCUGGACCUCUGAUCAUAGAGCCACACCCUAUGGGUGGCUCCUAGAAAUGCUUUGUUUACAUGUAUAUAGAGAACUUUUUAAAUCCAACUUCUUGCUUUGGUAGUCAGGAAAUUCAGAUACUCUAAUUUCUGAGAACUAAUAAAAGCCAAAAUCAGCCUACAUCAAUUAGAGGUGGUAACAGUCUCUCUUUUUUAAAUUAACUAAAUUAGUUGUUAAAUUUGCAUUGAAAUAUAGUUGAUUUACAAUGUUGUGUUAGUUUCAGGUGUACAGCAAAGUGAUUCAGUUAUAUAUAUGGUACUUUUUAAGAUUUUUUUCCAUUAUAAGUUAUUAAAAGAUACUGAGUAUAGUUCCCUGUGCUAUACAGUAGGUACUUGUUGGUUAUCUAUUUUAGAUAUAGUAGUAUGUAUAUUUUAAUCCAAAAUUCUUCAUUUAUCCCUCCCCCCUCCCCCAUAAUAGUCUCCUGAAAAUAGAAAAUAGAAUUCUCAAAUGGUCAGGGGCCCACCAAUAUGUCCAUAUUUACAUAUUUAAUACUUUUUAUAACAGGUGAAAUAGUUUCAUAAUAAUCUCACCUAGUUAAUAUCCAUAGGAAAUGAGCUGAAUGUAUGAAGUCUCUGGGAAGAGUUACUAAUCUGAAGGUGACAAUGGUAAAUGGCUGCUUCUACUAAAGACUAAGAAGAAAAGUUGUAAAGAUUUGGAGGUAGGGUUUAUAUUGGCAGUUAGGAAGGUUUCCUGUUGUAAGUUAUUGGAUCUGAACAGGUAGCAGUUUUUUGUUUUUUGUUUUUUGUUUUUUUAAUUAGUGUGCUACUCUGGGCUGAAAUGGAAAAAAAUCUCUUAUGACCUGUAAGAGAAUGAACAAUGGCUUUAUUUUGACCUUAUGUGUGAGCCGCUUUCAGUUUUUAAUUUAAAUAUACACCUACCGUACAACCAGCCAUUCUGCUCCUAAUUGUUUACGCACAAGAAAUGAAAGCCAAUGUCUGUAUAAAGACUUGCACGUGAAUGUUCAUAGCAGCACAUUGGUAAGAGCCCCAAACUGGAAACAACCUAUAUGUCCAUUAACAAUUGAAUGGUUACAAAAAAAGGAACAAACUAUCAAUACAACAGUGCAGAAGAAUCUCAACAAUAAUUUUACUUAGUAUAAAAGGCAAGACAAAAAAGGAUUUAAUGCCAUAUGAGUUCAUUUAUAAAAAAUUGUAGAAAAUGAAAACUAAUCUACAGUAAUAGCAGAUCAGUGCUUGCCGAGGAAUGGGGGUGAAGUGGGGAGGGAGGAAUUAAUUAUAAAAGCAUGAGGAAAUUUGGGGGAGUGAUGGAUAUGUUUAGUAUCUUGAUUGAAAAUGCUUAUUUGAAAAAUUUUUUACUCUUUGUACUGCAGCUCCAUCUGAAUAAAACAAACCAGAUGUGGUGUUUGGAAGAUAAGCCAGAUCUCACAAGAAAGGCUGUUAGAACUGAUCCCCAGACUGGAACAUGUUGCUGUAGGGUGGGAAAUAUAUGUAUAUGGAUAUCUC